rnacentral:ncRNA from 1 species
UUGAGCCUUGUGAUGGGAAACUAUCACGCAGGGUUCUUAGAGGGGUAGCCACCGGUAACGGUGGCCGCCUACUCGGC